rnacentral:rRNA from 1 species
GAUGAACGCUGGCGGCGUGCCUAAUACAUGCAAGUCGAGCGAACAGACGAGGAGCUUGCUCCUCUGACGUUAGCGGCGGACGGGUGAGUAACACGUGGAUAACCUACCUAUAAGACUGGGAUAACUUCGGGAAACCGGAGCUAAUACCGGAUAAUAUAUUGAACCGCAUGGUUCAAUAGUGAAAGACGGUUUUGCUGUCACUUAUAGAUGGAUCCGCGCCGCAUUAGCUAGUUGGUAAGGUAACGGCUUACCAAGGCGACGAUGCUUAGCCGACCUGAGAGGGUGAUCGGCCACACUGGAACUGAGACACGGUCCAGACUCCUACGGGAGGCAGCAGUAGGGAAUCUUCCGCAAUGGGCGAAAGCCUGACGGAGCAACGCCGCGUGAGUGAUGAAGGUCUUCGGAUCGUAAAACUCUGUUAUUAGGGAAGAACAAAUGUGUAAGUAACUAUGCACAUCUUGACGGUACCUAAUCAGAAAGCCACGGCUAACUACGUG